AAAGAUAUAUUUCAACUAUCAACUAAAUGCAUAUACGAGGUUGGCACUGCUUUAUACGAGGCUGGACAAUCAAUGCAAUACCGUGACAAUCCGGGGGGCAUGCAUCAAAAGGUAGAGGGAUGAACAGCAGAGAAACAAAGCAGGGAGUACGUGACACUUGGGAUAUUACCAUGGACACUUAAAGGGCAGCAAGCAGCAGGACAAAGUUGUUGUGACUUAGUAGUGUGUGACGUACGGAUUUUUC
rnacentral:lncRNA from 1 species